GUAUUAGGGACACCGCCCAUUUCUCCACCUGCAGUCUCCCACGCGCUCUGGACGCCAACAGUAAGAAAAACACCGCCGACAAACCGAAACAAAGGAGAGAAAAUCCUGCACUGGGUCUUUAUUAAUGCAGCACCCGCUCAAGCGACGGAACUACAUGGUGGGGGGUUGAAACCUCUCGGCUCCGGUGCUGAGUGUUGGUGAUGAUGAGACACCCCAGCAGAACACAAUGGGGACAGGAGGUCAGCCCAAGGACAGGCCUGUGUGGUAGAGCUCCCAGCACCUCUCCUGCUCCUCACAGCCACUCCAAGCAGCCCUGCUGAGAGAUCAUCAAACCAGCUUCAUAACUCCCCAGCAAAGGCAGGAUUGAUGACUCACCAGAUCCCAAACAGAACCUGGAUGCGUUACUAAAGACAAUUUCAGUUCAGAAAGUGCUGAACAUUUCCUUUAGAGGAGGAAAUUCAAGGCUUUUCCAUUCCUCCAGGCCUGGUUCUGAGGGGAUCAGUAGAACUAUUAGCCCUCAGCAGAUUCUUCAAGACAAACGUUUUCCUGUAACAUCACACCCCCAAAACCUGAUCACACAGAGACGCAGGGUAAGGAUACACAGCUGGAGAUCAGUCACUCUUUAGAGAAAGGCUUUAUUUCAGCCUUCACUGGAUUCCCAACAGGACAACAGCGCUGCUGUACACAAAGCUGCAGUGAUGAGGGAGAGAGGGAGCCAACUGGAGGAGUCAACAAACAACAGAAAAAAAUAAAAGCAGAAGAUGAGCUAAUGGGAAUGGAAUGGGGAUGGUGAUGUAACUUUUGGGAAGAAGGUUGACUCUGAGGUGCACCAGAAUACGCUCCUGCAGAAGUCUGUGGGCAUGGAUGAAUGAUGAUUUAUGAGUUUAUUAACUAAAUUAGCAGAGGAACAAAAGAACUGCUGAACAGCUAAUAGAGGAAAAGCUCCCACCGGUCCACUGACUGACGAUGACUGAUGGACUAAAAGCCACACAACUCUAUUGGGUCUCUUUGCAUCCUUAGUGUCCUUGUUUCUAAUCAGGUCUGAUGUAUAAAGUUUAAAGACUCAUUAACCUUGUUUUUAAUGUUCCACUUUGAUGAGAUCAUCCAUAUUGUUAAAAGCUCCAGAAAUACUGUUACUCCAAAUCAUUCACAAAUGUUUAAAGUGUGCAUUCAGCGAUUUUAAUAAAUUAUAUUUUGGAUGAAGGACAA